rnacentral:rRNA from 1 species
UCCGGCAGUCGGGGUUCGUGGAAAGUUUUUUUCGGCCAGGGAUGUGCUCGCGGCCUAUCAGCUUGUUGGUGGGGUAAUGGCCUACCAAGGCUUCGACGGUAGCCGGCCUGAGAGGGUGACCGGCCACACUGGGACUGAGACACGGCCCAGACUCCUACGGGAGGCAGCAGUGGGGAAUAUUGGACAAUGGGCGGAAGCCUGAUCCAGCAACGCCGCGUGAGGGAUGACGGCCUUCGGGUUGUAAACCUCUUUCAGUACCGACGAAGCGCCGAUGAUGGUGGUGACGGUAGGUACAGAAGAAGCACCGGCCAACUACGUG